rfam:Dipodomys ordii contig_9594, whole genome shotgun sequence.
GGUGGCUCAGUGGUAGAGUACUUGCCUUGCAUGCAUAAGGCCCUGGGUUCGAUUCCUCAGCACCA